UUGAUAUUACAUUUAUAAGCAUCAUACCACCAAGAGUAAUUGACAAAAAUAAAUUACGUAAUUUAGUGUUCGCAAGUUUGGCCACUUUGGUGACUAACAAACAACAUUAAUCGAACAUUAAUUACAUAACUAAAACAUUUAUCUAAAUCAGUCAUCAAAACUUUUGGAUAAAUCAUUUUCUAUCCCAAUUAUUGUGUGUAGAUUAAUU
rnacentral:lncRNA from 1 species